rnacentral:lncRNA from 1 species
UCUAUUCCCAGGUCAGGAAACAAAUAACUUGAUCAAAAGCUAUCACUAUUGUAAGCAAAGCAAAAAACAACUACAGUCGAACCCACUUAUAACAAUAUUCAAGUGCCACGAAAAUUCCAUUGUUAUAACCAAUAAUUGUUAUAGCCAGGUUGCAUGAAAAAAAAAUCGAAAUAGGGGGAUGGCAGAGCUGUUGUGAGAAAACUAUAGUGGUGGGGAAGCCAGUGCCCCCUCCCCACCACCUUGCUCCAUCCAGCUGCCGAUUGCGUUGACUCGUUUAACUGUUUAACUCUGCUUCCUGCAUACUUUGAUUGCAUGU